rnacentral:lncRNA from 1 species
AUUUCUUAUAUAAAAAAAAAGAAAAAAAUUUACUACUAAUAAUAAUAAUAUUAGAGUUUUUGUCACACCUAAAUUAGCAAUAUUUAGUGCUAUUUUAGGCAUACUUCUUGGUAUUUGUAGCUACCUCUACAACUUUGGCAUGUCUUAUCUCCCCAUUUCGAUUUCUUCUCUCCUUGGUUCAACGUCCCUAGCAUUCACCGCGAUUUUCGGCGUAUUUCAUGGUGAAACAUAAGUUCACAGAUUAUUCCGUGAACGCGGUGGUGUUGAUGAUGUUAGGGUCGAUUAUCUUAGGGUUACACAUGAAUAGAGAUCGUCCGAUAGGUGAAUCGAAUCAACGAUACAUGUUAGGGUUUGUGAUGACACUUGUUGGUGCGGCUGUUCAUGGAUUUGUAAAUGCAGGAGUUGAGUAUAGUCAUGUUAAAGCUGGAGUUGUUGUCACGUUUGAUCUUGUCAUGCAAAUGCAAUUUGUUAUAUCAAUGUUCUCAACUUUGUUUUGUAUCGUCGCAAUGAUUAUCAACAAAGAUUUUCAGGUAACCGCCUCUUUUUAAAGUUUAAGAAGUUAGAAAAAAAUUACUUUUAGGCAUGUAAAUAGUCAUAGUAACGUACGAUAUCCAUUUUAUUUUAGCAUUUUACGUAUAUAAACUAGUAAAUUAGAAGUAUGCAUAGAUUUUAUAUUACAAGUGUAAUUUAAUCUACAAUAACAUGUUAUUUAUCUUAUAUGAGAAAUUAAAUAGUCUAGCAAAGGAAACAUUAUAUUACAAAUUUUAAAGUAGUUAAAAGAAUUUAAAUUCAUAAAAGUCGUGAAAACACUAUAUAAAGUAAUAUAAUUGCUUCGUUCUGCUUUAUGUUAUAGUUUGAAUCGACCAUGAUGACGGAACUUACCAAAGAAAUGAAGAUUUCUAAAAGGAAAAAAGAAGAAAGAAAGAAUUAGAGUUAACAAUGACAUGAACUUUCUUUCUCUUAAAAAAAAACUUCUUUUUUUUGAGUGGAAAGAAAAAAAAGCUUCCUUUUCAAAAGAUAACUAAGCAGUGUCAAUGACAUGAACUUUUUUUAUUUUCAGAGUGAAAAAGAAAUUUUAAGUAAUUAUUUUCAAAGAUAAUAAAGGGGAUAUGUUCAAGCAUGAGCCAUUUAUCUUUCUUUUUAGUCCGUUUAUACAAAAUAUCUUCUCUCUAUAUUUAGUAAUUCUUUAAUUAAUUCCAAUAUUUUACAUGACUUUUUUUAAAAUUAUAAGAUUCAAAGGAAAUUUUUGAUAUAUUACAUAUAUGCCUGCAUCUCCAAUUUAAGACCACAAAAUUAAAAGAUUUCUUUUUAGUUUUCUAAAACUUCAUGCAUAGUCAAACUACAACGCUUAAAUUAACAUCGAGAAAGUACUUUUUCUUUAAGAGUUUAAGAUAUAUACGUCGUCCAUAUAAAUCAUAUGCACACAACACAUCAGAUCCUCUUCACAUGUUAUAGCAAGUAACCUGCUGUUUUAUUUGCAUGCAAGAUUACAAAUCUCAUAUCUUAAGGAUGUCUGCCGAGCUAUAAAUAUUCUUUGAAUAACCUGACAGUGUAAGGAAAUCUUUUUAACAAUAUGUAGGCCAUCAUUAGAGAAGCUGAAGAAUUUGGAUUAGGGCAAAAAAAGUACUAUAUGAUAUUAGCAUUAACAGCAAUAUCUCUACAAACUAUGAUGAUUGGAAGUCUUGGGAUGAUUUUCUGCUCCUCAGCACUAUUGUUUGGGAUAGUAAAUGCACUUCUAAAUUCCAAAUACAACAAAUAUUUGCUGUCAUUUUCUGCCUGAAAGCUUCAAUUCUGACAAGUGGAUGGCUUUAGCUAUGUGUCUUUGGGGUUUUGUCUUUCUUAUUUCUAUGGAGAAUAUAAAGAUAGCAUGACCAACAAGGUUACAAAAAAUAAACCAUGCUACCCUGCCAGACCAAGUUUGAAUAACAUUAAUGCUACUUUUGUAUUCAGUGGUGUACCCAGAAUUUUAUGUAAGUAAUUUAUUAGUAUUACAACUCUGUCAGUAUGGGAGUUUGGGUCGUCUUGGAUUGUGGAGUUCUUUUAAGACGUUUAUUUUCGAUUGUAAAUUGAUGCAUGUUUAUUUUAAUACUUUUUAAGCGAUGUCAGCAUGUUGAGUAUUUAUAGUGGCGGAGCCAGAAUUUUUUUUAAAAAAAAUUAUGCCAAGGAAAUUUAACAAUUACUUAUAUAUAUUAUAUGCAAAAAAGAUAAAAUAAAUAAUUUUUAGGGCAAACCACAUAAAUCUCACUAGUUUAGGUCUUAAUUAUUAAGAUUCCCAAUAGUUUCAAAUAUUACUUCAUGUACCAUAUUUUAUGCUUGAAUCAAUGAGAUACAUGUAUCUGCCGAAUUUUAAAAUUGAGAUACAAAAUUUAUUUAUUUAAAUUAAUUGUUUGGAACUAAUUUCCUUAAUUAGAGGAGUAAUUGAGGAUUUUCAAAAUACAUAGAUAAUUAAUUUCAUUUUAUUAUUCUUUAAAAUAGUAAAUUCAUUAAUAUUAUUAAUAUAAGAUAACAACACAUAUAUCUUGGUAAUGCGAUUUGAUUAAUUUCAAAUUAUUACUCUUAAAAUAAUAAAUUCAUUAAUUUGAUGUAUCUAUUAUCAAUAUAUGAUGUAUCNNNNNNNNNNNNNNNNNNNNNNNNNNNNNNNNNNNNNNNNNNNNNNNNNNNNNNNNNNNNNNNNNNNNNNNNNNNNNNNNNNNNNNNNNNNNNNNNNNNNNNNNCAUAUGUUAUAUCCAAAAACAUGUAUCUCGAAUACAUAAUAAGCAUAUACAUUUAAUUAUGUGUAUCUAAAUAUGAAAUGUAGCUGAAACACAUGAAUUUAGGAACAAAUCACGACUGUAGAGUAUCUGUCGUAUCAUUAAUAUCAUCGUGUUGUUAAAAAUCAUGUAUCCAAAAUUUAAUGGUGGAUACAUAUACAUGGUCAGACACCCCAUUACUAAAAAUACAACUCAGAUCUUAAUUAAGAUUACUACUUAUUGGAUACACAUGUUUCAAGGGCUAUAUCAAAGUAAUAUUGGUACUACCAAAUCCAUGUCACGGUAACCAAAGAAAGCCUUAGAAGAACACCAACAAACAAAAACUCUCUACAAUACUCCCUUUGAUCCUUUUGCGUUGUGGUAUAACAUAAUCAAAACUAAGAUCCAUUUCUUCCGGAGACAAACAAUCAAGACACACUCUGAAUUAAAGUUUUCUCUGUAGCAGUUACUUUGAUUUGAUCUAGUUAUAAAUGAACAAUACAAAAUAAUAUUUGAGUUCAGGAGAAUUUGUCGGCCAUGGUGAUGAUAUCUUGAGAAGAAGAGAGUAGAUUAGCUUUGUUGGAAUGAAAUUGUACAAUGAAAUUCUUGAAUCAUAAAGGAGGAGACAUAAUUGAAUGAUAAAUAUGGGAGGGGAGAAUUAAGAGAUAGUGGUUGAUUUGGAGUGAAAGAGUUAAUUAAGCAGAUAAUUAAUCAAUCCUAAUUUUAAGAUAUGUGGGUAUCUAAUAAUCUAAUUGUAUCUUCAAAUAAUAUAUUAAUAUAUGGUAUAAAAUAUUAAAAGUGGUAAUAUAUGUAAUUGUUUGAAAGUAAAGAUAAUAUUAGUAUAUAUAGUAGUGAUGUAUGUCUAAUAAGGUAGUUUAUCCUAAUUUUUACCCUAUUUACCUGCAUAUAUAGUACAAUUUUUCAACAAAGAAGCUUCGACCCCUAUGCCCAAUAUGUAAAUAUAUGUUAUGAGUGUAUAUAUAUUAUCGAAGGCGGAGCUACAGUAUUAGAUACUAUACUAGCUAGUUUCAUGUUUAUUUCUAACUUGGUCAUCAAAUGUUUUAUGUAUUGCUUUAGUUCAAGCAACAAAUUGUAUUUAAUGCUCUUUCGUUACAUGAUUUCUUCUUCAUAUAAAUAUAUAUAGAAUCUAUGAAGUAGAUUUUGUGCUAUAAUCCUUCCUAUUUGAUAGAAAAGGAUCCCAUGAUCCUGAACUGAUCUUACCUGGGGUUGCAAAUUCCAAGUUUGUCUAUGAAGAGCAGAUUUAAUUAUAUUAGUGUCUAUAAUUAAUUUCUUUUGUGUAAUAUUAAUUGAUAAGUGUAUAUUUUAUAAAUAAUUAUAUAUUAUAUCAAUCCCUCCGUCUCAUGUUAGAUGUACAUCUUACUGAAAAUAUUUGUCUCGUAUUACUUGAUCACUUACUAAAUCAAAAUAGAAUUAAUUAAAUUUUCUCGUUUUACCCUUACAAUUAAUAUGACUUUUGGAAGUUUAAACAAAUUUUAAAGAUUUAAUUUUUUAAGAGUCUAAUUAAUAUGAACAAAGGACAAAAUAGUAAAAUUGAUCAAUCUAUUAUUGAUUUCUUAAUCACCAUGUUAAAUAGAAAUCGUUCAUCUAAUAUAAAACAAAUGGAAUAUUAUAUAAAUAUAAUGUAUAACCAAAUAUAUAUGAUGUAUGAUUAAUAAAUUAUGUAUUGCUGAUGUAUAUAUACAUCCAUCCUGGUUUUAAAAAAAAAUAUUUAUCACUAUAUGGUGGUGAGACCUCUAUAUUGAUGAAUAAAAUUGCCAAGCUAAGGAGAGCUUAAGCUCGACCCAUUGUUCCAGUAGUUGCUUAGCAAAAACUAAGAUUCUGAUAAAAACUAUACUAAUUUGGGACAAAUUUACAAGUCCAGCAUAGUAGACAAAAUUAGCUAUAACAUUUUAACUGGAUCAGUUCUAUACAAAAUAAUUCUUCCUCUGCUUAUACCUUAGAGACUCCACUUGUAUGAGAUCAAGUUUGUAAGAUCCGAUGGCUAUCGAUGGUAGGUGAGCCUAUGCAAAAAUCAUCCUGGGUCAAUGUAACUACACUCCUGAUGAGUUGGUACUUGAAGUUUCACCUUAUCGGUAAAAAAAUAAUUUUCCAUCUUGUAAUUCAAUGCCCUUUCCUAUUUUCCCAACCACAAUAAAUAAGUAAAGUAGUAGAAGAAAAAAUCAUUAUCUGGAUUACAUGGUGAGGCAAAUUAAAGGAAAAAUUAAGCUUAAGAAUUACACAACUUAUUUAGAAUCGCAAUCAAGUAAACAUCACUUUUUUCAUAUGCUUGAAAUUGAUCCAUAAUAGUAGGGGUGUGUAUUGAUCGGUUCGAUUUUAUAUAUUAUUGGUUCGGUUUAUUGGUUUUCAAUUUUUAAAUACGUUAAAUUAACCAAUAACUAAACCGAUAUUUCUUAUCGAUUUUGAUCCUUAACAGUUCGAUUUUCGAUUUAACCAAUAAGAAAAUACUUAUAAAACAAAUAUAUGACUUCUUUAAUAAAUUUGACGCGACAACACAAUAAUGUAACUUUACAAAUGCUCAUAAAAUAGAAACAAUAAUAAAAACAUGAAAAGAACUAUACAAGUGUAACACAAAGAGUAAUUAAGAGGAAUGUUUGGUUCUUACUUUAAUUAGGUUUUGACAUUUUGUAAAAUGUGAAGUUGUGAACCUAAAGUCACUGUGACGUGUGAAUUGAAGGCUAAAGGACAAAGAAAUAACUAGUAAGAUAUUGAAUUGAUAUUUAAUAUUUAUGUACAAGUAAAAGUAGUAAAUUACUAGUCUUAAUGGGUUAUUGGUUUACCCAAUAAUCCAAUAUUAAAAAUCAAUACCAAAUCGAUAAUCCAAGUUUUUUCUUCUAUAAAACCAUUAAAAACUCGUUAAUCCAAUAAUACAUUUUCAAUUCGAUUUAUCAAUCGAUUCAAUUUUCCACCAAUAGCGUAAAUUUCUUUUUCAUAUGGCACCUUAGUGCUUGUCCACUUUUUCACAAAUGACAAAAAAAAAAAUCCAAAUAUAAGUUUUAAAAAAUAGGGCAAUCCAAAAUAUCAUAACAAUAGCAAUAAGCAUUAUUGACUUCAUUUUUGCUUUUGACAAAAAGUAGAUUCAUCAUUAAACACUUCUACCUUUCAUUAAUUUCAAGAAUCAAUUAUGCUUUUGUAUAUCAAUAUUAAAUUCGUAAGUAUAGUUUGAAUAAUUUUUAUUAAAAAUGCUAAUUAAGCCAAACAAUCAUAUGAUGUUACAUUGCCUUAUUACUAGGAUACUCUACUUUUCUUCCUACACAAUAAUGUUAGUAGCUUGUGCAACAACUAGAAUCUCUAUUCUACAAUAAUAAUAAUAAUAAUAAUAAUCCUUUUUUGGACUUCCAAUAUUGACAUCCUCGUGGAUUUAAUUUAUACAUAUACUAUAUUAUCAACGAUGGCGGUGAAAUGGAUAGAAUAUAGUCUACUCUUAACUAAAGGAGCAAAAUCGAAGGAUCUUAUUCCACCUUAUUCUUCACUAUUCUUAAUUAAUAAUCUCAAAUUUGAGUCUAAAAAUGGAAAAGUUUAUGCUAGAGAGCACUUACCUUAGACCUCUGAUUAAGGAUGGAACAGUCUCACCACUGCAACACAACCCUUGUUGGUAUGUUUAAGUGUUAAUUAAAAUAAGUAAUAAUAUGAAGUUAAAAUUUGAAAUAGUUAUUAGAAAAUACUUUCAUAAAAAAAUAAAUGAUUCUCGUCGUACCAAAUACUAGAAAACAAUUUCCUUAAAAAACAUUUUCCCUCAAAAGACAAAUACACCUCAAUCUAAAGUCACUUUAAUUUCCUCUUUGGCUUAUAUGUACCACUAAUAAAUAUACCCCCACAAAUUAAUAUCUCUCAAACACAUUCACAAAAAAUAUGGACAUGGAAAUUGAGCAAGAGGGCAACUACAAUAAGCCUAAGAAACUCAAGAAUUUCAUGUCAAUUAAAACACUUCUUAUUCUCAUAUAUUGUAUCUUCCUUUUAGUUGGCCAAAUAUCAGGUGUAUUGCUUGUUAGAAUUUAUUAUUUACAUGGUGGAAAAAGAAAAUGGUUGCAAUCUUUAUUGCUAACAGCAGGAUUCCCAAUCUUGAUUUUACCAAUUUCAAUUUCUUAUAUGAAAAAAAUGAAAAAAAUUACUAUCAACAAUAAUAAUAUUAGACUUUUUGUCACACCUAAAUUAGCAAUAUUUAGUGCUAUUUUAGGUAUCCUUUUUGGUAUUUGUAGCUACCUCUACACUAUUGGCAUGUCAUAUCUUCCCGUUUCGAUUUCCUCUCUCCUCUCUUCAACGUCCCUUGCAUUUACCGCGAUUUUCGCGUAUUUCAUGGUAAAACAUAAGUUCACACAUUAUUC